rnacentral:rRNA from 1 species
UACGUAGGGCGCAAGCGUUGUCCGGAAUUAUUGGGCGUAAAGAGCUCGUAGGUGGUGUGUCGCGUCUGCCGUGAAAGCCCGGGGCUUAACUCCGGGUCUGCGGUGGAUACGGGCAGACUAGAGGCAGGUAGGGGAGAACGGAAUUCCCGGUGUAGCGGUGAAAUGCGCAGAUAUCAGGAGGAACACCGGUGGCGAAGGCGGGUCUCUGGACCGAUACUGACGCUGAGGAGCGAAAGCGUGGGGAGCGAACAGG